UGGACGCGCCCUGUUCAUCUUCGAAACAGCAGUAACAGAGGCCGGGUGACGCCGCGACACCUUAUGUGGCGGCGCCCACAAUGUCCGCGACCCUGAUAGUCACGUGUCAACGAUCCGAAGCGCGAGCGCCAGGCAUUGCUGCGAUUGCGACCCCAUAGAAAACAAUCCUGAUGAGACGAUGUGCUCUGAGCCGUCACGUGGGCUAGAUCAAGCCCACCGAUUCAUUUGCCAGGCAAGCGCUCAUUGCAGGUGGCAUAGUGCAUCGCAAUCUUUGAACCUACGUAAAUUUUGCUAGAGUUUGCGCGCUUGUAAUGCUUUAACGUUACCACUGUAGUCGAGCUACGUUUUAUGUGCUUGCUGCGUGAAAGCCUGUCAGCGGAACGUCUCUCUGGCCGGGUUGCGUGCAAGCGUGUUCAGGCUCUUUGCAAGAAGGCACGGCAACGAGGUAGUGCCGUGUGUUUUCACGCCGUGGACUUGAGGUGGUGCUGCGUGGACGAGCGUCAGAGUAUACCAAUGCAUAUUUCCUCCUCGUGCUCCUUUUUGUGGCUUCCCAGCAAUCAAGGAUGAAGUUCGUCAUGCCUGCUAGCCAGUGCGAACCGGCAGCCAUGGAAAUUGCACCCGCGGAACCAAAGUGGCGAUUUUCUUGUUGCCCAUCUAAGGAAGCUGAUGAAGAAACUGGACUAGUGUAGCUCCCGCAUUCGGCUUAUCGAGUAAAAAGGAAUUCAAGGAUCUGUCUGUCGAGCGGAAUACCAGGACAGCCGGCGUGGAUUGCAUUGGGAAGGUUUUUUCAAUCAUGAAGUAGUUUAUGGCACCAAGAGCUCAACAGCAACUAAUCAGAUUGACCAUGUCGCUGCAAAGAAGCACAAGAGACACCACCAAGCCUCCAUGCAGGGAUGGGAACAAGGAAAUAAAAUAAAAUAUUGCAGUUUUUCUUCA